rfam:Winogradskyella jejuensis strain DSM 25330 genome assembly, contig: Ga0131247_101
UAUAUUUGACAAGAAAUUAAUUAAAAAUGCAAACAAAUAAAACAUGGUGGUGGAAUUUUACUAACGAAACGUUCGUGAAAUAGUCCAUUGUGUUAACUAAAAUACUAAAAGGCUUGUC